rnacentral:rRNA from 1 species
CAACUUUUAACAACGGAUAUCUUGGCUCUUGCAACGAUGAAGAACGCAGCGAAAUGCGAUACGUAAUGUGAAUUGCAGAAUUCAGUGAAUCAUCAAAUCUUUGAACGCACAUUGCGCUCCUAGGCUUGCUUAGGAGCAUGCCUGUUUCAGUGUCAUUUU